rnacentral:tRNA from 1 species
AGAAACUUAGGAUUMAUUUAAACCGWAGGCCUUCAAAGCCUUAAACAAGAGUUAAACUCUCUUAGUUUCUG